UGGUGGGGGAUGGGCUCGCGGCUUAUCAGCUUGUUGGUGGGGUGAUGGCCUACCAAGGCGGUGACGGGUGGCCGGCCUGAGAGGGUGGACGGUCACACUGGGACUGAGACACGGCCCAGACUCCUGCGGGAGGCGGCAGUGGGGGAUAUUGCACAAUGGAGGAAACUCUGAUGCAGCGACGCCGCGUGAGUGAAGAAGUAUUUCGGUAUGUAAAGCUCUAUCAGCAGGGAAGAUGAUGACGGUACCUGACUAAGAAGCCCCGGCUAACUACGUGCCAGCAGCCGCGGUAAUACGUAGGGGGCAAGCGUUAUCCGGAUUUACUGGGUGUAAAGGGAGCGCAGGCGGUUUUGCAAGUUGAGAGUGGAAGCAGGGGGCUCAACCCCCUGACUGCUCCCAAAACUGUAAAACUUGAGUAUGGGAGAGGCAGGCGGAAUUCCUAGUGUAGCGGUGAAAUGCUUAGAUAUUAGGAAGAACACCGGUGGCGAAGGCGGCCUGCUGGACCAAAACUGACGCUGAGGCUCGAAAGCGUGGGUAGCAAACAGGAUUAGAUACCCUGGUAGUCCACGCUGUAAACGAUGAAUACUAGGUGCUGGGAUGCAUAAGCAUUUCGGUGCCGUCGCAAACGCAUUAAGUAUUCCACCUGGGGAGUACGUUCGCAAGAAUGAAACUCAAAGGAAUUGACGGGGACGCGCACAAGCGGUGGAGCAUGUGGUUUAAUUCGACGCAACGCGAAGAACCUUACCCGGUCUUGAGAUCCUCCUGAAUACUGAGUAAUGUCAGUAGUCUUCGGGACAGGAGAGACAGGUGGUGCAUGGUUGUCGUCAGCUCGUGUCGUGAGAUGUUGGGUUAAGUCCCGCAACGAGCGCAACCCCUAUUUUUAGUAGCCAGCGGUUCGGCCGGGCACUCUAAAGAGACUGCCGAGGAUAACUCGGAGGAAGGCGGGGAUGACGUCAAAUCAUCAUGCCCCUUAUGACCGGGGCUACACACGUGCUACAAUGGCAGUUACAGAGGGAAGCGAAGACGUGAGUCGGAGCAAAUCUCAGAAAGGCUGCCUCAGUUCGGAUUGUAGUCUGCAACUCGACUACAUGAAGCUGGAAUCGCUAGUAAUCGCGAAUCAGAAUGUCGCGGUGAAUACGUUCCCGGGUCUUGUACACACCGCC
rnacentral:rRNA from 1 species